rfam:Rhizobium sp. LC145 LC145_contig1, whole genome shotgun sequence.
CGGUCUGCAGUUCACCGAGGCGUCGCCGUCCCGAAAGGGAAGCUAAACCUGCCA